rnacentral:sRNA from 1 species
UGGUUAAAAGAUUUUGAUAGGUGUAGUAAUGUAUCCAGCUGCAUCACCAAAACCACCACCCUAACGUGAGUAACGACUUUCAAAAGCUGCGUCCCGGGCUGUCCGCAUAUCUUCCUACAGCUCCACGGUCUGAGAGCUCUCUGCUCUGCAGCUGAGGCAGCCAGGGCCUCUUCCAGCAAAAUCCUUUUAUAGUCUAGGAGAGUUUUUGAGGAUCUUCCAAGUUUCUGCUCUCCCGGACAUGUGACCGUUUGUUUUCCUCUCCCGUCUCAUGAACUUCCCCAACCCGUGGAGAGAAUGUUUAUAUUUGGAGGACGCUGCUACCCAACAGAAAGCCAAUCCUCUUUAAUUGUGAGCUCCCUGGCAAGUCAACCAACUCUCCUCCCGUGGACGGCUCUGUAGUCACCAAGAUAACAAACCGAGGCAUCUAUCUUCAAGGCCUCACCGCACACUGACGGACACAGAGCAACGGAGCUUGACAGCUGGAGAACAUGCACGUCACUUUGCCAUGGCCUGUAGCCUCAGCCUCAGACGAGGCUGAAGCAGGUGGUCAGUGCGCUGCGCUGCAGGUAUCCACAACGCGACUGCGGUUUCGUUCUUUGGAUCCUUGAGUUCAGGGUGAAGACCCUUCAUUUCCAUACCAGGCCAACUCUUGUCUUCUAAAUGGGGAGCUGAUGACACCAGGACUUCAAGAUGGCGUCCCUUGUGCCAUUGAAGGAGAAAGAAGCUCAUGGAGGUUAAACUUGGAGAGUUGCUGAGCUGGAUAUUGAUGCGGGAUUUCACCCCCGGUGGCACUGCAGGAGCCUUUCAGAGAGGGUAUGACCAGUAUUACUACUAGUACAUCAACAUUCGGAAAGGCAGCACCUCAAGGAUUAACAUGGCAGCAUUUCUUACAAGGAACUAAACUUGAGCGGCGACGCAAGUACCACGGAAGAGGAGUCACCGUGGAGGGCACUGAAUGGCUGAGCACAACCGCCUGGCCCGCUCCAAUCUAGGAAGAAUUCAACUGGCUGAACCUUCUUACCCGGACCAAGAGCUAGUGUCCAGUAAAAGGUGACUGACUGGUUCAAACAACAACAACAACAACAACAAAAAGAAGCUCACCGUAUUAAUCGACUUUUAUUUACUACUGGGGGGAGCAUGAUAUUGUGGCUCAAGGCUUUGCCUUGCCACGUCCUCGCUGUGGUCUCAAGCUGGAACACAUCCCCCGAGACUCGCUUUCUUCAUUGGUUAAACAGGAGCGGCAUACGCCCGUUUCCUUGGGUGACUGUAAAUACCAAGUCAGCAGCUGAUUAGCACGGACUUCCGCCUGUUCACCUUUCUCUGGGAGUUCUGUUUUCCUCAGACUCUCUCGAGCAUUUCCCUUUUGUUCGGUUGGGUUUUGCCUUUUGUUUUGUCCAGACAGCGUUUCACUACGUAGCCCUGUCUGGCCUCGGACUCAGAGAUCUGCCUCUGCCUCCCGAAUUCUAGGAUCAAAAGGGUGCGUGCGUUACCACUUCCCAGCUUGCUUCUCUCGAGAAUUUCUAUACCUAGCCCUUACGUCUAGGUUGGUGGAAAUAUUUCUUAUCUAAUUACACAGUGUUAAGAGGAAACUAUUUUCCUAUAAGUCCUUAAACAUAUAUGAGUGCGUGGGUUUAUCUCUCUCUUUUUUUUAAUGGGUUUAAUCUGUUGUAUUGCACAGAAAAGUGAUGCUUUGGGGGAUGUUACUUAAACUUGUCUUAAAAAAAUUAACGACAAGUGGUUACUUUUUUUU